GGUUGUGGCUCAAUGGUAGAGCACUUGCCUAGCAUGCAUGAGGCAUUGGGUUCGAUCCCUGGCACCA
rnacentral:tRNA from 1 species